CUAAAUACCAAUCAUUAGAUUAGAAAUGGGGGAAUACACACUGAAGAUCAAUGACAGUCACAGCCAUCAUGGAAACCUAAACCAUUCUGUCUGAAUACCUUCCUUUUCAUCAGCAAUACCUGCAACCCAGAGUUACAAAUCAAGCAGGCUGCCAGAGUACCUUGAGGAAUUAAAAUAGUUAAAGUGCAAUGAUAAUUAUCAGCAGCCAAGUCUUGCUCAUAAAGUGUAACCCUUUAGCAAAGAAAAGAGGUCAUUUAAGCUCUCCAGAAAAAGCAAACCCAGGAAAA